rnacentral:ncRNA from 2 species
AAUAUAUCAAGAGCGACAGCUAGGGAUUUGGCCCGUUUGAACUGUCCAGCAACCCCGGAAACCGGAAGGUGCUAAUUCCAACCUCGCAAGAGGAAAGAUAAAGA